GGGGAUGUAGCUCAGUGUUAGGGUGUGUGCUUCACAUGUACAUAGUCCUGCAUCAAAACCUAGCAUCUCCA
rnacentral:tRNA from 1 species